rnacentral:rRNA from 1 species
AUUGAACGCUGGCGGAAUGCUUUACACAUGCAAGUCGAGCGGCAGCGCGGGGCAACCUGGCGGCGAGCGGCGAACGGGUGAGUAAUGCAUCGGAACAUGUCCAUGUCGUGGGGGAUAGCCCGGCGAAAGCCGGAUUAAUACCGCAUACGCUCGAGAGAGGAAAGCCGGGGACCGCAAGGCCUGGCGCGAUUGGGUUGGCCGAUGUCCGAUUAGCUAGUUGGUGGGGUAAAGGCUUACCAAGGCGAUGAUCGGUAGCUGGUCUGAGAGGAUGAUCAGCCACACUGGGACUGAGACACGGCCCAGACUCCUACGGGAGGCAGCAGUGGGGAAUUUUGGACAAUGGGGGCAACCCUGAUCCAGCCAUUCCGCGUGAGUGAAGAAGGCCUUCGGGUUGUAAAGCUCUUUUGUCCGGAGCGAAACGGGCGCGGCUAAUACCUGCGUCUACUGACGGUACCGGAAGAAUAAGCACCGGCUAACUACGUGCCAGCCGCCGCCGUAA